rnacentral:rRNA from 1 species
ACCCGCUGAAUUUAAGCAUAUAAGUAGGCGGUGGAAAAUGAACCAAAUGGGAUUCCUUAAGUAAUUGCGAAUGAACAAGGAAAUGCUCAGCUUGAAAAAUGGGGCCUUCGGCUUUGAAUUGUAAUUUUGAAAUGUAUUGCCAAUGGAGGCGCAGGUGCAAGCCUAUUGAAAGAAAGCGUCAAUGAGGGUGAGAUUCCUUUUUGUCAUUUGCAGUCCUCCGUGCACGGUAUAUAUUUGACGAGUCACACUCCUCGGCAUUGGAAUGCAAAGUGGGUGGUAAAUUCCAUGUAAAGGUAAAUAUAUUAUUGAGACUGAUAGCAAACAAGUACCAUGAGGGAAAUAUGAAAAGGACUUUGAAAAGAGAAUUAAAAGAGUCUGCAUUUGCUGAACAGAAAGCAAACAGAAUUGAUCUUACUUGGUGAGAUUGUUGUGCCCACUUUAGCAUUUAUAUGUUGGAUGUGGGUGCGAUGGUUCUUGCCUUGAAUGUCAGCUUCUAUUUCUGCAAAUCAUUACCCUUGCACGUGAAUGGUAAUUUGCCUGUGGGUAUUGGAAUGCAUGUGUUUGCAAUGAUUUGUGAUUUGAUAUGUGUGAUUGGUGCUACUUGCGUGUUGCUCCUUUGUCAACGGGGAAGGCUGUCUUCCUUGAGCCCGCAAGCCCAAACACCUUACUGCUGGCAAAAUGUUUCUGCUUGACCCGUCUUGAAACACGGUCCAAGG